rfam:Schistosoma rodhaini strain Burundi genome assembly, scaffold: SROB_scaffold0018039
GCACUGCUGAAGAGUCCCACAAUAGGACGAAACGGCCGUUCAAUGC